rnacentral:rRNA from 1 species
UGAUCCAGCAAUGCCGCGUGUGUGAAGAAGGCCUUCGGGUUGUAAAGCACUUUUGUCCGGAAAGAAAUGGCUCUGGUUAAUACCCGGGGUCGAUGACGGUACCGGAAGAAUAAGCACCGGCUAACUACGUGCCAGCAGCCGCGGUAAUACGUAGGGUGCGAGCGUUAAUCGGAAUUACUGGGCGUAAAGCGUGCGCAGGCGGUUUUGUAAGACAGGCGUGAAAUCCCCGAGCUCAACUUGGGAAUGGCGCUUGUGACUGCAAGGCUAGAGUAUGUCAGAGGGGGGUAGAAUUCCACGUGUAGCAGUGAAAUGCGUAGAGAUGUGGAGGAAUACCGAUGGCGAAGGCAGCCCCCUGGGACGUCACUGACGCUCAUGCACGAAAGCGUGGGGAGCAAACAGGAUUAGAUACCCUGGUAGUCCACGCCCUAAACGAUGUCAACUAGUUGUUGGGGAUUCAUUUCUUCAGUAACGUAGCUAACGC